rnacentral:rRNA from 1 species
UUAAACAUUUAUGGCUAUUAGAUGGGUAUGCGUCCUAUUAGUUAGUUGGUAAGGUAACGGCUUACCAAGGCAGCGAUAGGUAGGGGUCCUGAGAGGGAGAUCCCCACACUGGUACUGAGACACGGACCAGACUCCUACGGGAGGCAGCAGUGAGGAAUAUUGGACAAUGGGCGAGAGCCUGAUCCAGCCAUGCCGCGUGCAGGAAGACUGCCCUAUGGGUUGUAAACUGCUUUUACAGAGGAAGAACCACCCCCACGUGUGGGGGUUUGACGGUACUCUGCGAAUAAGGAUCGGCUAACUCCGUG